rnacentral:rRNA from 1 species
AGAGUUUGAUCCUGGCUCAGGAUGAACGCUGGCGGCGUGCCUAAUACAUGCAAGUCGAACGGGGUGUUUGAGCAAUCGAGCACUUAGUGGCGAACGGGUGAGUAACGCGUUGGUGACCUGCCCCGAAGCGGGGGAUAACAGCCUGAAAGGGUUGCUAAUACCGCAUAACAUGACGAGAGACUAGAAGCUUGUCAUGAAAGGAGAAAUCCACUUUUGGGAGGGGCCUGCGUCCCAUCAGCUAGUUGGUAGGGUAAAAGCCUACCAAGGCUAAGACGGGUAGGGGACCUGAGAGGGUGACCCCCCACAAUGGAACUGAAACACGGUCCAUACACCUACGGGUGGCAGCAGUAGGGAAUAUUGCACAAUGGGCGAAAGCCUGAUGCAGCAACGCCGCGUGAGUGAUGAAGGCCUUCGGGUCGUAAAACUCUUUCCAAGAGGAAGAGGAAGGACGGUACUCUUGGAAUAAGCCUCGGCUAACUACGUGCCAGCAGCCGCGGUAACACGUAGGAGGCAAGCGUUAUUCGGAUUUACUGGGCGUAAAGCGCGUGUAGGCGGCUAUAAAAGUUGGAUGUGAAAGCUCCCGGCUUAACUGGGAGAGGACGUUCAAAACUCUAUAGCUUGAGUAUGAGAGAGGAAAAUGGAAUUCCGGGUGUAGUGGUGAAAUGCGUAGAUAUCCGGAGGAACACCAGUGGCGAAGGCGAUUUUCUGGCUCAAGACUGACGCUCAGACGCGAAAGCUAGGGUAGCAAACGGGAUUAGAGACCCCGGUAGUCCUAGCCGUAAACGAUGUAGACUAGGCGUUGGAGGAGUAAAAUCCUUCAGUGCCGCAGCAAACGCGAUAAGUCUACCGCCUGGGGACUACGGCCGCAAGGUUAAAACUCAAAGGAAUUGACGGGGCCCCGCACAAGCAGCGGAGCGUGUGGUUUAAUUCGAUUCUACACGAAGAACCUUACCAGGGUUUGACAUACAAGUAGUAGGGAACUGAAAAGGGACCGACCCUUCGGGGAGCUUGAACAGGUGCUGCAUGGCUGUCGUCAGCUCGUGUCGUGAGAUGUUCGGUUAAGUCCGCUAACGAGCGCAACCCUCGCUGUGUGUUACAAGUGUCACACGGAACUGCCGGUCAUAAACCGGAGGAAGGUGGGGAUGACGUCAAGUCAGCAUGGCCUUUAUAUCCUGGGCUACACACACGCUACAAUGGGAAGC